UUAUUUCUCUCUCUCUCUCUCUCUCUCUCUCUCUCUCUCUCUCUCUCUCUCUCGCCGGCUCCCACCUGCUUUCCUCCUCUAAAUAAACUCUAUGCUUUGACUCGCUGCAUUGCAUGAAUUCCUGAACGGCUCCAGACCUAACAGUUUACUACUGUAUCCCCUUGACUACAACAGUGAUGGCACAUAAUAGAUACUCAAAAAAGGAUAUUGUAGAAGAGCCAAAAGUAAAUACCUGAAACUACUGAAAUUCACUGAAGUAUAAUCUAGAAGCCGUGAUCUUUGAACUGGAUAAAACUAUUGAAGCAUACACCAAAAGAAUAAGCUUGAACUUAAAGUCAUCCCGGAACAUAAAAAUAACCUGUGAGCAGUAUCAAAGUGAGCAGGAACAACAGGAAAGAAAAACACUGCACCCAAAAAGGAAGUGGGAGAUCUGACCAUUACAAGCUCCAGCAACAUCACAAGCCCACUCAUCACGAUAGAGGACCAAUCAGCUGUAACACCCAAUUCACAAUCCCUAAUUUGAAUGCAUAAAUGGCCAAUGGUAAUACCAACUUGCAAUCCUUAAUUCGAAUUUUAGCUAAUCAAGCUCCCAUGUGCCAACAUCCCUAGUAUCUUUAUCUCCACCUCCCCUUGUGUAAUCUAAUAAAAAUCCCUCACCUCUCCAGCUCAAGGGGACAGAUCUGAGGACCCCCCUCCUCUCUCUGCUGGGCUGCCCUUUGCUAAUAAACUCUUUUCUUGAAAUCCUGGAGUCACUGAAUUGGCUUCUGUGCACAUUGGGCAAGAACUCAAGCGGUUCCAGUCUGGUGACUCACAUGGGACCAGCAUCUUAAAGUCCCUUGCUGUGGCUCUGUGACCCCUGCAGAAUGAGGAUAUCUGACCACUGAACCUGCGUGGCCACCCAGACCAAUUAAUUUAGAGGCUUGAUGACAGAUUCUGAACCUCAUCCCCGCUAGUGUCAUUGGCCUAAGGUGCAGUUUCAUUUCAAAGGAAAACCAGUAUUGGGAACAGACCUCUUCUGGGAAUGGCUAAAACUA